AUGACAGCUUUUUUGAUACCAAGUAUUCUUACAACUAUUGUGAUUUGUCAAAUUAACAUAUUUUUGAACUCAUCUUUGCUAUUUACCAUUUUCUGCUUAAAAGGAAUCACGUCCAAAUCCGAUAUGUCACUAGUCUACUCAAGAUUUGCGGCAGAUAUCGGUUAUAGUUGUUCAAGGCAACUGUGAUACUGGGGAUCAUUCGAACAAGUUUGUUAUUUAUAAUUUCAUUGGAUCGAAUAAUUGCUCUAUUUUCUUCUCAAUUUUACAACCCAAAUCGUCGAAAGCUUCCAUUGUCUGUCAUUUUCCUUAUCAUAUCCAGCUCGAUAGCUUUUGAUCAUUUUAUAAUGUUCGGAUAUUGUGAGAAUGUCAUAGAUACUCCAAUCGACUGCGAUAGUGCCAGAUGUUGUUAUAAUGCGUGUUAUGCUCACUUUUGGAUUUCACGGGAACAAGUUAUGUUCUGUUGUAUAGUUAUGAUGACAGUUUUGUUAUCAUUGAAGCUAGUAGUUUGCACAUACUUCACACAUAAUCAACACGCUCGAAUUUUGUCAAGAGCUGUGCGGUAUUCAACAACACUACCAUUUUAUGAUGAUUUCUUCUUGAACAAAAAAAAACCUACAAAAAACUGCAUCGUUUUCCUCUCCAUGACAAUUGAAGAACAAAAUGAGUUUUUUGUUGACUGAACACAUUUUUUCAGGCAACUCAAAUAGCAAUGAUUGACUCCACUACUCUUAUUUUAUUCAACCUUAUUCCAAUUCUAACUCAUGUUUGGUUUGCGUCUUCAGAUUAUCAAACAUACGCGUCUAUUACUACUCUAUCCAGAAAUCUCGGAUUUUUAAUGAAUACCUUAAUUAUUUUUCGAAUACUUAUGAGAGACAAAAAACAUGUGGUGCCUUUGAAGAUUUCUUCAUGA
rnacentral:misc_RNA from 1 species